UACGGAGGGUGCGAGCGUUGUCCGGAAUCAUUGGGCGUAAAGGGCUCGUAGGUGGCCAACUAAGUCGGACGUGAAAUCCCUCGGCUUAACCGGGGAACUGCGUCUGAUACUGGAUGGCUUGAGUUCGGGAGAGGGAUGCGGAAUUCCAGGUGUAGCGGUGAAAUGCGUAGAUAUCUGGAGGAACACCGGUGGCGAAGGCGGCAUCCUGGACCGACACUGACGCUGAGGAGCGAAAGCCAGGGGAGCAAACGGG
rnacentral:rRNA from 1 species